rnacentral:rRNA from 1 species
UACGUAGGGGGCAAGCGUUGUCCGGAAUCAUUGGGCGUAAAGAGCUCGUAGGCGGUUCGUCACGUCGGCUGUGAAAUCCCGAGGCUCAACCUCGGGUCUGCAGUCGAUACGGGCGGACUUGAGUACUGCAGGGGAGACUGGAAUUCCUGGUGUAGCGGUGAAAUGCGCAGAUAUCAGGAGGAACACCGGUGGCGAAGGCGGGUCUCUGGGCAGUAACUGACGCUGAGGAGCGAAAGCGUGGGGAGCGAACAGG